UCUAGAAUGACAGGGAAGGUUCAGACUCAGAGGCAUUAAAACACAUAAUCAAGAUAGUAGUUAUUGUCCUAAGUUCCUAAUACCUCAAGGCUAAAACUUGUAUAGUUGAUUAAUAGUUCUAGAAUGGCAGGGAAGGUUCAGAGGCAUUAAAUCACAUAAUGAAGAUAGCAGUAGGUGCCUCACGUCAAUCACCAAUGCAUAUUUCACCAAGCACUCGCUGCCUCAAGUCAAUUACCAACACAUAUUUCACCAAUAGGCAAACCGUGCUAAACAUAUUUGUUAGACUAAUCUGGGUUUGUGUCAUCUAAAGAAAUCAUUCACAGUUUGGUUCCCAAGCAAACAAGAAAUCUGAGGAAAUAAUGAAAAAGAAAGAAAAGAUCAUUCAAAUCGUCUCCCCACAAGUCCACUCAUCCUAGAAGGGAGCCCUCCAGAAUCAACUUCGGCAAACUAUGCCUCAAAUUUUCAAAUCACCUUAUUUUAGAGCUAACACAAAAGAAUAGUUCCAACAUCUUUCUAAGCUAAUUUAGUUGCCACAAUACAUAUUUGCUGUUAACCUGUACAAUAUAUCACUAGAACUUGAUAACUUACACGAUUGCUCACUAGCCCCAUGUACUAUAGUAUUAGAUUAUAAUGACUCCUCUCUCACCAUAAACACUUUUCAAGUUACCAAAGGAGUUUCACACUUUAAAUCAUUAAUUCGUCUUCUACCAUUGUUUCUUAUAGCAAAUAUACAUUAGCUAUGAGUUUCAAUGAAAAAUGAAACCAACAAUCUUAUUUAAAUAGACAAAUAAUCAGGCAUUUCUACUAGCACUGUGCCACUGCUGCAGUUUCCAAACUCCAUAGCGCAAAAUCUUACUACACCCAGAGCCAUAUACCCAAAGAA